rnacentral:rRNA from 1 species
GGUUCAGAACGAACGCUGGCGGCGUGCUUAACACAUGCAAGUCGAACGCGAAAGGGACUUCGGUCCUGAGUAAAGUGGCGCACGGGUGAGUAACGCGUAGAUAACCUGUCUUCAUGUCUGGAAUAAUACGCCGAAAGGGGUACUAAUACCGGAUAUUCUUGCUUUUCAUAAGUUAUGCAAGCAAAGGUGGCCUCUGCAUAUGCUACUGCAUGAAGAGGGGUCUGCGUACCAUUAGCUAGUAGGUGGGGUAAUGGCCUACCUAGGCGACGAUGGUUAGCGGGUCUGAGAGGAUGAUCCGCCACACUGGCACUGGAACACGGGCCAGACUCCUACGGGAGGCAGCAGUGAGGAAUAUUGCGCAAUGGGGGAAACCCUGACGCAGCGACGCCGCGUGAAGUGAGGAAGGCCUUCGGGUCGUAAAGCUCUGUCAAGAGGAAAGAAGUGUACAAUGGCUAAUACCUGUUGUAUUUGACGGUACCUCUAAAGGAAGCACCGGCUAACUCCGUGCCAGCCGCUGC